UACAGAGGUCCCGAGCGUUGUUCGGAUUCACUGGGCGUAAAGGGUGCGUAGGUGGUGAGGUAAGUCGGAUGUGAAAUCCCCGGGCUCAACCUGGGAACUGCAUUUGUGACUGUAGAGCUGGAGUACGGUAGAGGGGGAUGGAAUUCCGCGUGUAGCAGUGAAAUGCGUAGAUAUGCGGAGGAACACCGAUGGCGAAGGCAAUCCCCUGGACCUGUACUGACGCUCAUGCACGAAAGCGUGGGGAGCAAACAGG
rnacentral:rRNA from 1 species